GCCUUCAAAAGAAAUAUUGAAGAAUCACAGUACUGCUACUUCUCAAUGUUCUUGCUUCGUUCUAUACAAUUUGAUGAUUGAUAAAACAAAGAUUUUCAGGUAAAAUUUGGGGUUUUGAAUAUGGAAGUAGUGGGUAAUGAAGGCUCGUGUUAUUAUUCUGUUCUGGGAAUCUGUAAACAGGCUUCGGAUACUGAAAUUCGAGGAGCUUAUAGGAAGUUGGCUUUGAAAUGGCACCCAGACAGGCGGAUCAAGGAUCCCGCAGU